rnacentral:lncRNA from 1 species
CCGACCAACCGGAUUUCAAAAUGCUCAUAAAAGAGUAUCGGAUUCCUCUCCCCAUGAGCGUUGAGGAAUAUCGGAUUGCCCAGCUGUACAUGAUCCAGACAUUUCAUGACCCAACUAGGUAAUAUCAUCAGUGCUUCUAGGGAAUGAGGAGGAGAAGGAGACUGAGAGAUACUAAAAACAUCAAGACAGGGCAAGC